CCUACGGGGGGCAGCAGUGAGGAAUAUUGGUCAAUGGCCGGAAGGCUGAACCAGCCAUGCCGCGUGAAGGUCAGUGCCCUAUGGGCGUUAAACUUCUUUUGUGCGGGAGCAAUAAUGGUCACGUGUGGCCAGACGAGAGUACCGUACGAAUAAGCAUCGGCUAACUCCGUGCCAGCAGCCGCGGUAAUACGGGGGAUGCAAGCGUUAUCCGGAUUUAUUGGGUUUAAAGGGUGCGUAGGCUGUGAGGUAAGUCAGCGGUGAAAUGCCCCCGCUCAACGGGGUGAAGUGCCAUUGAUACUGCCUGGCUGGAAUGCGGAUGCCGUGGGAGGAAUGUGUGGUGUAGCGGUGAAAUGCUUAGAUAUCACACAGAACACCGAUUGCGAAGGCAUCUCACGAAUCCGCGAUUGACGCUGGUGCACGAAAGCGUGGGUAUCAAACAGGAUUAGAUACCCGGGUAGUC
rnacentral:rRNA from 1 species